GCCUGGAUGGCUCAGUUGGUUGAGUGUCUGACUCCGGCUCAGGUCAUGGAUCUUGCACUUUGUGGGUUCGAGCCCCGCGUCGGGCU